CCUACGGGAGGCUGCGGUCGAGAAUCUUGCGCAAUGGGCGAAAGCCUGACGCAGCGACGCCGCGUGAGGGAUGAAGGCCUUCGGGUUGUAAAGCUCUGUCAGAGGGGAAGAAAUGCAGGUGGUGAACAACCAUUCUGUUUGACGGUACCCUCAAAGGAAGCACCGGCUAACUCCGUGCCAGCAGCCGCGGUAAUACGGAGGGUGCGAGCGUUGUUCGGAAUUAUUGGGCGUAAAGCGCGUGUAGGCGGUUUGUUAAGUCUGAUGUGAAAGCCCCGGGCUCAACCCGGGAAGUGCAUUGGAUACUGGCAGACUUGAGUACGGGAGAGGAGAGUGAAAUUCCCAGUGUAGGAGUGAAAUCCGUAGAUAUUGGGAGGAACACCGGUGGCGAGGGCGGCUCUCGGGACCGAUACUGACGCUGAGACGCGAAAGCGUGGGGAGCAAACAGGAUUAGAUCCCCUUGUAGU
rnacentral:rRNA from 1 species